rnacentral:pre_miRNA from 1 species
AUAAGAAUUAAUUAGGGGGCUUUGUUAGAAUGUAGGUUCUAGUUUAGUGGGACUGGUGUGGGGCCAGAGAAUCUGCCUUUCUUAUCAGCUCCCAGGAGAUGCUGAU